rnacentral:rRNA from 1 species
AUUGAACGCUGGCGGCAGGCCUAACACAUGCAAGUCGAACGGUAACAGGAAGAAGCUUGCUUCUUUGCUGACGAGUGGCGGACGGGUGAGUAAUGUCUGGGAAACUGCCUGAUGGAGGGGGAUCACUACUGGAAACGGUAGCUAAUACCGCAUAACGUCGCAAGACCAAAGAGGGGGACCUUCGGGCCUCUUGCCAUCGGCUGUGCCCAGAUGGGAUUAGCUAGUAGGUGGGGUAACGGCUCACCUAGGCGACGAUCCCUAGCUGGUCUGAGAGGAUGACCAGCCAUACUGGAACUGAGACACGGUCCAGACUCCUACGGGAGGCAGCAGUGGGGAAUAUUGCACAAUGGGCGCAAGCCUGAUGCAGCCAUGCCGCGUGUAUGAAGAAGGCCUUCGGGUUGUAAAGUACUUUCAGCGGGGAGGAAGGGAGUAAAGUUAAUACCUUUGCUCAUUGACGUUACCCGCAGAAGAAGCACCGGCUAACUCCGUG